rnacentral:rRNA from 1 species
AACGAACGCUGGCGGCAGGCUUAACACAUGCAAGUCGAGCGCCUUAGCAAUAAGGAGCGGCAGACGGGUGAGUAACGCGUGGGAACAUGCCCUUUGGUUCGGAACAACUCAGGGAAACUUGAGCUAAUACCGGAUAAGUCCGUAAGGAGAAAGAUUUAUCGCCGAAGGAUUGGCCCGCGUCUGAUUAGCUAGUUGGUGAGGUAACGGCUCACCAAGGCGAUGAUCAGUAGCUGUUCUGAGAGGAAGAUCAGCCACACUGGGACUGAGACA